rfam:Branchiostoma floridae genomic scaffold BRAFLscaffold_258, whole genome shotgun sequence.
CCUUCGAUAGCUCAGUUGGUAGAGCGGAGGACUGUAGCGGACCCUUGUUGGCAUCCUUAGGUCGCUGGUUCGAAUCCGGCUCGAAGGA